GACGAACGCUGGCGGCGUGCUUAACACAUGCAAGUCGAACGGAAAGGCCCUGCUUUUGUGGGGUGCUCGAGUGGCGAACGGGUGAGUAACACGUGAGUAACCUGCCCUUGACUUUGGGAUAACUUCAGGAAACUGGGGCUAAUACCGGAUAGGAGCUCCUGCUGCAUGGUGGGGUUUGGAAAGUUUCGGCGGUUGGGGAUGGACUCGCGGCUUAUCAGCUUGUUGGUGGGGUAGUGGCUUACCAAGGCUUUGACGGGUAGCCGGCCUGAGAGGGUGACCGGCCACAUGGGGACUGAGAUACGGCCCAGACUCCUACGGGAGGCAGCAGUGGGGAGUAUUGCACAAUGGGCGGAAGCCUGAUGCAGCAGCGCCGCGUGCGGGAUGACGGCCUUCGGGUUGUAAACCGCUUUCGCCUGUGACGAAGCGUGAGUGACGGUAAUGGGUAAAGAAGCACCGGCUAACUACGUG
rnacentral:rRNA from 1 species